rnacentral:rRNA from 1 species
GAUUGAACGCUGGCGGCAGGCCUAACACAUGCAAGUCGAGCGGAAGAAGGGAGCUUGCUCCCGGAUUCAGCGGCGGACGGGUGAGUAACACCUGGGAAUCUGCCUGGUAGUGGGGGAUAACGUCCGGAAACGGGCGCUAAUACCGCGUACGUCCUACGGGAGAAAGCAGGGGAUCUUCGGACCUUGCGCUAUCAGAUGAGCCCAGGUCGGAUUAGCUAGUAGGUGAGGUAAUGGCUCACCUAGGCGACGAUCCGUAACUGGUCUGAGAGGAUGAUCAGUCACACUGGAACUGAGACACGGUCCAGACUCCUACGGGAGGCAGCAGUGGGGAAUAUUGGACAAUGGGGGCAACCCUGAUCCAGCCAUGCCGCGUGUGUGAAGAAGGUCUUCGGAUUGUAAAGCACUUUAAGUUGGGAGGAAGGGCUUUAGGUUAAUACCCUGAAGUUUUGACGUUACCAACAGAAUAAGCACCGGCUAACUCUGU